GCAUUCAACAGAGGUCUGUGGUUAAAACACAGCCGUUUGGGCAUUUUAACACCGCUUGUGUCAUUUUGUGGGGCUUUGCGUACACUGGAGAGUCUAUUGUAAACAACCGUUACGUGCGGUCUGGCUCGUUACACUGCCUAGUCCCAGCAUUCCCGUGUGUUUACCGUUUGAGUGGGGACAUCCAAUAUAUGCUGUUUGGCAUCUACUUCAUUUCUAUCCCGUGGAUACUGACGUCAGCUCUGCUUUCUGGUGUGGCAAACGGCUGCGUUAUUUGGAGCUGUGUGUCCGACGGCAGUGAGGCUUUCCUUCACCGUGUGCUGUGUUAUGCUGUGUGAGCACCACUGAUAAAAUCACGGGUAUUGGAGUGAGUGUGUGUGUGCACUUAGUUGUGUGUGUGUGUGUGUGCACUUAGUGUGAUUCUCCUCUUUUGCUCCCUCUCUUAGCCCAUUUGAUGCCAAUAGGCUACAGCUCCGAAGUAAAUGUGAAUCCUUAUUGUGGAUUGUGAUUUCCAGCUUAGUAAUUGGCUGGGUGACUAUUAUUCCUGCAUUUUAAACUUUUGUACUAAUAAACAAACUCUAUUUUGCUACCCACGUCUCUUGCUCAUUUU
ensembl:lncRNA